GACGAACGCUGGCGGCGUGCUUAACACAUGCAAGUCGAACGGAAAGGCCCCUUUUGGGGUACUCGAGUGGCGAACGGGUGAGUAACACGUGAGUAACCUGCCCUUGACUUCGGGAUAACUUCAGGAAACUGGGGCUAAUACCGGAUAGGAAUCCUUGCUGCAUGGUGGGGGUUGGAAAGCUUCGGCGGUUUUGGAUGGACUCGCGGCUUAUCAGCUUGUUGGUGGGGUAGUGGCUUACCAAGGCUUUGACGGGUAGCCGGCCUGAGAGGGCGACCGGCCACAUUGGGACUGAGAUACGGCCCAGACUCCUACGGGAGGCAGCAGUGGGGAAGAUUGCACAAGGGGCGGAAGCCUGAUGCAGCAACGCCGCGUGCGGGAUGACGGCCUUCGGGUUGUAAACCGCUUUCAGCAGGGGCGAAGCUUGUGGUGACGGUACCUGCAGAAGAAGCACCGGCUAACUACGUG
rnacentral:rRNA from 1 species